AAAGCAUCUAAGCGCGAAGCCUGCCUCAAGAUGAGAUUUCCCAUAGCAAAAGCUAGUAAGACCCCAGAAAGAUGAUCUGGUAGAUAGGCCAGGUGUGUAAGUCCCGUGAGGGAUUGAGCUGACUGGUACUAAUAGGUCGAGGGCUUGACCUU
rnacentral:ncRNA from 1 species